UACGUAGGUGACAAGCGUUGUCCGGAUUUACUGGGCGUAAAGAGCGCGCAGGCGGUCGUUCAAGUCGAGUGUGAAAGCCCCCGGCUCAACUGGGGAGGGUCACUCGAUACUGAUCGACUCGAAGGCAGGAGAGGGAAGUGGAAUUCCCGGUGUAGUGGUGAAAUGCGUAGAUAUCGGGAGGAACACCAGUGGCGAAGGCGACUUCCUGGCCUGUUCUUGACGCUGAGGCGCGAAAGCUAGGGGUGCAAACGGG
rnacentral:rRNA from 1 species